rnacentral:rRNA from 1 species
GAUGAACGCUGGCGGCGUGCCUAAUACAUGCAAGUCGAGCGAACAGACGAGGUGCUUGCUCCUCUGACGUUAGCGGCGGACGGGUGCGUAACACGUGGAUAACCUACCUAUAAGACUGGGAUAACUUCGGGAAACCGGAGCUAAUACCGGAUAACAUGUUGGACCGCAUGGUUCAACAGUGAAAGACGGUCUUGCUGUCACUUAUAGAUGGAUCCGCGCCGCAUUAGCUAGUUGGUAAGGUAACGGCUUACCAAGGCAACGAUGCGUAGCCGACCUGAGAGGGUGAGCGGCCACACUGGAACUGAGACACGAUACAGACUCCUACGGGAGGCAGCAGUAGGGAAUCGUCCGCAAUGGGCGAAAGCCUGACGGAGCAACGCCGCGUGAGUGAAGAAGGUCGUAGGAUCGUAAAACUCUGUUAGUAGGGAAGAACAAAUGUGUAAGUAACUAUGCACGUCUUGACGGUACCUAAUCAGAAAGCCACGGCUAACUACGUG